UAACACUAUAAAUAGAAGAAUAAUGGAAAAGGUUAUUUAGCUUUUGGCCAUUGAAGAGAGAGGCGUUCAGCUCAUGAAGUGAGGCUAUUGCCCAUUUUAGAGAGAAGCCUUACCAAUUGCUGAAAAUUUGGCUCUGUCCAUUGAUGAGGGGCAAUUACCCAUUGCAAUAAAGAGAGGCUUCAACUUAAGGUGGAGUAAGGACAUAGAAU
rnacentral:misc_RNA from 1 species